ACUCCUACGGGAGGCAGCAGUGAGGAAUAUUGGACAAUGGGCGGGAGCCUGAUCCAGCCAUGCCGCGUGCAGGAAGACUGCCUAUGGGUUGUAAACUGCUUUUGUACAGGAAGAAACACUCCCUCGUGAGGGAGCUUGGACUGGUGACUGUAAGAAUAAGGAUCGGCUAACUCCGUGCCAGCAGCCGCGGUAAUACGGAGGAUCCAAGCGUUAUCCGGAAUCAUUGG
rnacentral:rRNA from 1 species